rnacentral:rRNA from 1 species
AGAGUUUGAUCCUGGCUCAGGAUGAACGCUGGCGGCGUGCUUAACACAUGCAAGUCGAGCGAAGCAGUUAAGUUGAUUUCUUCGGAUUGAUUCUUAAUUGACUGAGCGGCGGACGGGUGAGUAACGCGUGGGUGACCUGCCCCAUACCGGGGGAUAACAGCUGGAAACGGCUGCUAAUACCGCAUAAGCGCACAGAGCUGCAUGGCUCGGUGUGAAAAACUCCGGUGGUAUGGGAUGGGCCCGCGUCUGAUUAGGCAGUUGGCGGGGUAACGGCCCACCAAACCGACGAUCAGUAGCCGGCCUGAGAGGGCGACCGGCCACAUUGGGACUGAGACACGGCCCAAACUCCUACGGGAGGCAGCAGUGGGGAAUAUUGCACAAUGGGGGAAACCCUGAUGCAGCGACGCCGCGUGAGCGAAGAAGUAUUUCGGUAUGUAAAGCUCUAUCAGCAGGGAAGAUAAUGACGGUACCUGACUAAGAAGCCCCGGCUAACUACGUGCCAGCAGCCGCGGUAAUACGUAGGGGGCAAGCGUUAUCCGGAUUUACUGGGUGUAAAGGGAGCGUAGACGGCAAGGCAAGUCUGAUGUGAAAACCCAGGGCUUAACCCUGGGACUGCAUUGGAAACUGUCUGGCUCGAGUGCCGGAGAGGUAAGCGGAAUUCCUAGUGUAGCGGUGAAAUGCGUAGAUAUUAGGAAGAACACCAGUGGCGAAGGCGGCUUACUGGACGGUAACUGACGUUGAGGCUCGAAAGCGUGGGGAGCAAACAGGAUUAGAUACCCUGGUAGUCCACGCCGUAAACG